CUCAUUUGAAAUUUCAUAAAUAAAAAGAAAAUUUCUUCAAACAUUUUUUUUGAGAGGAUUAAUAUUCAACAGCAUAGUGAAUUGCUCUAAGAGAAAACAAAAAUUUUAAGUUCAUUAGAACACACUCAUUCUGUGUCAGAAACCUAUGCUGUGUCAACUAUUUAAUCACAAUCCAAAUUUAGAGCUGAAUCCAGCUUGAAUGUUGUGUCCAUACUUGCCCCAACCGUUCAGGGUUCAACCUCUGCGGUCGUAUAAAGCUAUGCCCUGCGGAGCAUCUGGUUUUAUAAUCUUUA
rnacentral:lncRNA from 1 species